rnacentral:lncRNA from 1 species
GUAGAAAAAAAGCCAGCUCUGGUGUCUACCUCUCAUUUUCAAAUACCCUUCUCUUACUUUAUAAGAAGAGAUUCUUGCCUUCCCCUCCCAACUAUUCCUACUGUGCCAAUCUUGAGUGUGUCCUCUCAGGAGUACAAGCAUGGCCUAGCUGAGUCCUCUACUUUAGGGUCUCUUCUGAAGCUGCAUCCAGGAGUCAUCCAAAGCUCAGCUGAGAAAGGAUCCACUUCCAAGCUCACAGGGUUUGAGGAGGGCUCAGCUCCUUGUAGGUUGUUAGACAGAAGGCUGCCCUGAGUUCCUGUCAUUUGACCUUCUGCACAGAGUGCCUUACCCCAUCAAAGCCAGCAAGGGAGAGAGUCAAGAAAGUCUGCUAGGAAGAUGGAAGUUCUAUCAUAACCACAAAAGUGACAUCCCAGGGACCUUUCUCUAUCCUGCUAACGAGAAGCAAGUCAUAGUUUUCACCUGCAAACACACAGAUCCCAGGAUGUGGAAAAAAUUGGGGGCCAUCUGAGAGCUUGUCUGCCAUAGUGGACAUUCCAAAGAAAAGGGUCAUUAAAAAUAUUGGCAUCAGAAAUCCAUCCUUUAGUGAAGACACCAUGACACGCCAAUCAUUUCAUUAGAGACACAUUUCCAACAAAAGUUUAGUGUUUAUAGUUGAUGAUUAUUUUAAUCAAAAUUUAAUUUUUAUCAAAAUGUGGGCCAACAUUAAAAAAUGAUACCCAAACCCAGAAGAAAUAAUUUUUAUAAUUUUCAUUUUUAUAUGCAUCUCUGUGGCAAAGAAGAUAGGUAAUCAAUAAAAAUUUUAAAUCAUAUAAAUGCAUUUUCUUCAAAGAAAAGUUGGUAUCAAAGAGGAUUGGAAAUGCAAUAUAAAGAUUAAAU